GACGAACGCUGGCGGCGUGCCUAAUACAUGCAAGUUGAGCGAUGAAGAUUGGUGCUUGCACCAAUUUGAAGAGCAGCGAACGGGUGAGUAACGCGUGGGGAAUCUGCCUUUGAGCGGGGGACAACAUUUGGAAACGAAUGCUAAUACCGCAUAACAACUUUAAACAUAAGUUUUAAGUUUGAAAGAUGCAAUUGCAUCACUCAAAGAUGAUCCCGCGUUGUAUUAGCUAGUUGGUGAGGUAAAGGCUCACCAAGGCGAUGAUACAUAGCCGACCUGAGAGGGUGAUCGGCCACAUUGGGACUGAGACACGGCCCAAACUCCUACGGGAGGCAGCAGUAGGGAAUCUUCGGCAAUGGGCGAAAGUCUGACGGAGCAACGCCGCGUGAGUGAAGAAGGUCUUCGGAUCGUAAAACUCUGUUAGUAGGGAAGAACGUUUGUGUAAGUAAAUAGGCCAUUAAGUAAGGGUAACUACCAAGAAGGCAACGGCUAACUACGU
rnacentral:rRNA from 1 species